rnacentral:rRNA from 1 species
GAUGAACGCUGGCGGCGUGCCUAAUACAUGCAAGUCGAGCGAACGGACGAGAAGCUUGCUUCUCUGAUGUUAGCGGCGGACGGGUGAGUAACACGUGGAUAACCUACCUAUAAGACUGGGAUAACUUCGGGAAACCGGAGCUAAUACCGGAUAAUAUUUUGAACCGCAUGGUUCAAAAGUGAAAGACGGUCUUGCUGUCACUUAUAGAUGGAUCCGCGCUGCAUUAGCUAGUUGGUAAGGUAACGGCUUACCAAGGCAACGAUGCAUAGCCGACCUGAGAGGGUGAUCGGCCACACCGGAACUGAGACACGGUCCAGACUCCUACGGGAGGCAGCAGUAGGGAAUCUUCCGCAAUGGGCGAAAGCCUGACGGAGCAACGCCGCGUGAGUGAUGAAGGUCUUCGGAUCGUAAAACUCUGUUAUUAGGGAAGAACAAAUGUGUAAGUAACUAUGCACAUCUUGACGGUACCUAAUCAGAAAGCCACGGCUAACUACGUG